UACGAAGGGGGCUAGCGUUGCUCGGAAUUACUGGGCGUAAAGGGCGCGUAGGCGGAUACUUAAGUCGGGGGUGAAAGCCCGGGGCUCAACCUCGGAAUUGCCUUCGAUACUGGGUAUCUUGAGUUCGGGAGAGGUGAGUGGAAUGCCGAGUGUAGAGGUGAAAUUCGUAGAUAUUCGCAAGAACACCAGUGGCGAAGGCGGCUCACUGGCCCGAUACUGACGCUGAGGCACGAAAGCGUGGGGAGCAAACAGGG
rnacentral:rRNA from 1 species